AGAGUUUGAUCAUGGCUCAGGAUGAACGCUGGCGGCGUGCCUAAUACAUGCAAGUCGAGCGAACGGACGAGAAGCUUGCUUCUCUGAUGUUAGCGGCGGACGGGUGAGUAACACGUGGAUAACCUACCUAUAAGACUGGGAUAACUUCGGGAAACCGGAGCUAAUACCGGAUAAUAUUUUGAACCGCAUGGUUCAAAAGUGAAAGGCGGUCUUGCUGUCACUUAUAGAUGGAUCCGCGCUGCAUUAGCUAGUUGGUAAGGUAACGGCUUACCAAGGCAACGAUGCAUAGCCGACCUGAGAGGGUGAUCGGCCACACUGGAACUGAGACACGGUCCAGACUCCUACGGGAGGCAGCAGUAGGGAAUCUUCCGCAAUGGGCGAAAGCCUGACGGAGCAACGCCGCGUGAGUGAUGAAGGUCUUCGGAUCGUAAAACCCUGUUAUUAGGGAAGAACAUAUGUGUAAGUAACUGUGCACAUCUUGACGGUACCUAAUCAGAAAGCCACGGCUAACUACGUGCCAGCAGCCGCGGUAAUACGUAGGUGGCAAGCGUUAUCCGGAAUUAUUGGGCGUAAAGCGCGCGUAGGCGGUUUUUUAAGUCUGAUGUGAAAGCCCACGGCUCAACCGUGGAGGGUCAUUGGAAACUGGAAAGCUUGAGUGCAGAAGAGGAAAGUGGAAUUCCAUGUGUAGCGGUGAAAUGCGCAGAGAUAUGGAGGAACACCAGUGGCGAAGGCGACUUUCUGGUCUGUAACUGACGCUGAUGUGCGAAAGCGUGGGGAUCAAACAGGAUUAGAUACCCUGGUAGUCC
rnacentral:rRNA from 1 species